AAAGGCGAACUCAGGCGCAAAACUCACGCUGAAAUAGUCUAAUCCAAUGCUCUUAACACGGUGCGGCCUGGAUCAGUGGGGUUCUCACCAUCAAUUUGCCCUUUCGGAUCAGACACAAAGCCGAGUAUCAGCUCCAGUAAGGCCUUUAAAGUUUACUUGGAAAGAAACUGGUCGCUAACAGAGGUCUUGCCCAAGAAUACUGAGGGAAUUUCAGAAAGCUCAUCAAGAGGGGGCACAGUGGGGAUUUAAAAUACCCUUCAGCCCACUGCUUUCAGAAGCUCUGGAAGGAUUCGGAUAAGGUACUUUAUCUCCUGUGAUUUAUCCAGAAUGGACAUUGGUUGUUAAUCCUGCCCAACACUGAUUACUCUGAGGGCUGGAACAGGUAAGACACUGACUGAUCUGGGACUCCGAGAGAGUGGACGUGCCAAUGAGGCACCCCAGCCUGCACCUCAGCAUUUGUGCUCCAGGAACCUGAUGGUUUUGAUGUGGAAAUUCAGGCCCUCAGAGUAGGUGAAAGUGAACAGUG
rnacentral:lncRNA from 1 species